AUUGAACGCUGGCGGCAGGCUUAACACAUGCAAGUCGAACGAGUGGCGGACGGGUGAGUAAUGCUUGGGAAUCUAGCUUAUGGAGGGGGAUAACUACUGGAAACUGUAGCUAAUACCGCGUACCAUAGGAUGAGCCCAAGUGGGAUUAGGUAGUUGGUGAGGUAACGGCUCACCAAGCCGACGAUCUCUAGCUGGUCUGAGCGGAUGACCAGCCACACUGGGACUGAGACACGGCCCAGACUCCUACGGGAGGCAGCAGUGGGGAAUAUUGCGCAAUGGGGGCAACCUGACGCAGCCAUGCCGAGUGAAUGAAGAAGGCCUUCGGGUUGUAAAGUUCUUUCGGUAGCGAGGCGUUAACUACAGAAGAAGCACCGGCUAACUCCGUGCCAGCAGCCGCGGUAAUAC
rnacentral:rRNA from 1 species